UGCCCUGUAGCUCAAUGGUAGAGCACACUCUUGAUAAGGGUGAGGUCGUUGGGUCAGUACCAACCAGGGCAACCA
rnacentral:tRNA from 1 species